rnacentral:lncRNA from 1 species
CUUCCGGUUAUAUUCUCCACUGCUUCCCCGAAGUGCUCGUCCCGAGCACAAAUUGCUACAUUUCGUAUUUGGGUUUUUAACGUUAUUUCAUCUAUGGGUAAUUCGUCUUGGGUAAAUCGUCUUUGGGUAAUUCGUCUUUGGGUAAUUCGUCUAUGGGUAAUUCAUCUAUGGGUAAUUCGUCUCUCUGGUUGCUGAAAGUGUGUACAUACUGAAAACAUCACGAACAUAGAAAAUGCACAUAUUGGACCUUUUAAUAGAUAUAUAUAUAGGGGGUAUGUGGAGGGGGAUAAACAUAAACAUACUAGAUAUUCAGAG